GGCUGUUGCCUAGUCAGAAAUGGCAGGCAGCAAAAAAGGGUGCAUGAUUUUGGGCAUGAGUGAAGGAGACAAAGAAAACUUCCAAGUGAGAAGUUGGGAUAUAGCAGCAAGAGUUGGAGAUUUCUUGGAGACAAUACUUAGAGAAGAAGAAGGUUUGACUAAGGAGAUGAAAGGGACUGUGCUGAAGAAACUCCAGCUCAUUCAAAAUGUUGCUGCCCACCUGCUACAUAAGUAACAAGAGACAGUAUCAAGCCAAUGCUACAGAUACUAAAGAAACUCCCUGAAACAAGUAACUACAAAGCUUAGACUUGUGAAAACAGUAAACAGAAAUAGGAGCAUGGAUUCAAAUCUCUCCCACAAGAAGUUGGAAUGGACCACACACCCCACUGCCUCAAUAACAAAAUGCAAGAUUCAUCCUUUUAUAGCAGCUUUCUCAUAAAAACAUUAAAAUACUUUAAUUGUUUAAUUGUGCACCUUUCCCUGCCAUCUGGAAGAACAAGCAGAGAAAGAAACAAGGAUCACAAUGUAUGCUGAGUGUUUGACCCAUGAAAUUAUCUAAGGAAUUUCCCCUGCACUUUAUUCUAAACAGGAGAGGACAGUCUUGGUCUUUGCACAGGUCAGUAGAACUAUCUUGCUAGUAUUGAUAUUAGCUCUCCUUAAGCUGGUAUAGGGAUGGGAGUAAGGGCCCCAGCCCCACCUGCUACACACCUGAUAAAUGGAGAGUGGUGGAGGGAAAAAAAGAGGAGUACUACACUAGGCUAAGAAGCCAUUUUGAGGCAUUAUCCAGUUCACAUCCCCUAGCACACACAAUAUUACUUAUUAUGGCAAUCAUGAAAUACUAAUUGGAUAGUGACAGGAACUCAUAGGUGGCUCAAUUUGCAUUCCUUAAACACCCUGCUCUUCAACUGGCUUCAUAAUUCAGUUCUGAGGGUUGAACUGAGACACUGUUUCUCAUAAACCAGAUAUUACAGUCAGUGACAGCAAUGUGCAUGGUGGAAUGUUUUUAUAAAUGUUUACAUGAAUAUUACUAUCAGCAACUCCAUACCAUGAAAAUUAUUAUAGUCAGAGAAACUUAGGCAGCAAGCCAACUACUCCUGCUAUUGCUCAGAGGGAUAAGGAAUCUCUCUUUGGCUCUCUCUCUGCCAUAGGUCAAACCAGCAGGAUUCACUUGUUUAUUAUCAAUAAUUUAUCAAUAUUUUAUGUCCAUCCCAAAACUACAACCUAAACCCUCCCCUUUGCAGUGAUUUCUCAGUCUUAGGCAUGUCCAGUGUUUGGAAAGUCUGCUGCCUACCAGCUUUUCAUUGAAUCAUUCCUUGGGGCUACGUCUACACCGGCAUGAUUU